rnacentral:rRNA from 1 species
UACAGAGGUCUCAAGCGUUGUUCGGAUUCAUUGGGCGUAAAGGGUGCGUAGGCGGCGCGGUAAGUCGGAUGUGAAAUCCCGGGGCUCAACCCCGGAACUGCAUUCGAUACUGCCUUGCUCGAGUACUGGAGAGGAGACUGGAAUUUACGGUGUAGCAGUGAAAUGCGUAGAUAUCGUAAGGAAGACCAGUGGCGAAGGCGAGUCUCUGGACAGUUACUGACACUGAGGCACGAAGGCCAGGGGAGCAAACGGG